UGUGGGAUAGCUGGGUUAAAUGGUGUUUGCAUUCCAAGUUUUCUAAGGAAUAUCAUACUGCUUUCCAGAUUGGUUGCACCAAUUUACAGUCCCACCAGCAAU
rnacentral:pre_miRNA from 1 species